ACGCGUGGAACCUUACCAGGUCUUGACAUCCCGCUGACCGUCCUGGAGACAGGAUUUUCCCUUCGGGGACAGCGGUGACAGGUGGUGCAUGGUUGUCGUCAGCUCGUGUCGUGAGAUGUUGGGUUAAGUCCCGCAACGAGCGCAACCCUUGAUCUUAGUUGCCAGCAUUCAGUUGGGCACUCUAAGGUGACUGCCGGUGACAAACCGGAGGAAGGUGGGGAUGACGUCAAAUCAUCAUGCCCCUUAUGACCUGGGCUACACACGUGCUACAAUGGAUGGUACAAAGGGCAGCAAAGCGGUGACGCCUAGCAAAUCCCAUAAAACCAUUCUCAGUUCGGAUUGUAGGCUGCAACUCGCCUACAUGAAGCCGGAAUCGCUAGUAAUCGCGGAUCAGCAUGCCGCGGUGAAUACGUUCCCGGGCCUUGCACACACCGCCCGU
rnacentral:rRNA from 1 species